CAGGCUUGGUCGAGUGGUAUUUCGAUGAUCCGACAGCCCCUUUGUGGGUACGUUGGUCGGUCGCGUGUUUCACGUCUUCCUUUGGAUGACGCGUGAGCGGCUUUUAGGACGUGAUCUCGGGACAGGCUGCAUGCUUUGCAUCGAACUACCCCGGUCCGUCCCUGUCAUUGGUUGGGGUCUUCCGCGGUCCUUUCAAGGUCGGUUGUGACUGCGGGUUGGGUUCCUGUUCUAGACAUCCGAUUGAGAUAGUUGAAAGGAUUCUCGUCCACAUCGUGGUACCGUCUGUCCGCUCGCUUCCCCCUCCGGGGAGCUGGUAAAUGUCAUGUUUUUGGGCGUCCUACUUUCUCCAUCGAGAAAGUUGACCCUCACUCAGACUCUUCUCCUCUCGAUGGAACGUCGUCUUGUCGGGCAUGCUCUCGGGUACGGAGAUUUCGUCGGUUGGUCCCACUAGCCCUCGGUGGCCGUUGUGAUCUGGACAUAUCGAAGCGCUAAUGCUUCUACUCGCGCGACCCUUACGCUUUGCCUAUGUGGGAUCGCGGAGCCUAACCCCCUCCUCGAUCGCCUCCGGGACGCGCGUCGAGGCUUUUGGAGCAACAC
rnacentral:misc_RNA from 1 species